UAAAGGCUAGAUAACCAGUAUCUGCUAAAAUUUUCAAAGCAUAUUUGCGCUGACAAACUGAAAUACCAAACUUAGAACUUGCAAUUUCAAGGCCCAAGAAGAACUUUAAGUCACCUAAAUCCUUAAUCUUGAAAGUGAUAUCAAGAAAGGAUUUGAUUCGAUUAAGCUUUUGAAGAUCAUUACCUGCUAAGAUUACAUCGUCAAUAUAAACUAGAAUAGCUGUAAAUGGAGAACCAACUUUAUGAGUAAAUAAAGAAUGAUCAGACUGAGAUUCAGAGUAGCCACAACCAAUAAGAGCUUGAGACAAUUUAAAAAACCAUUGCCGACUGGCCUGUUUAAGGCCAUAGAGAGAUUUUUCUAAUUUCCAAACCUUAGAAGAAUCAGAUGAAUGUUAACCAAGUGCGGGAGAGAAGGUGUCCAAGUAAUCAAUGCCCUCAAUCUGUGUAUAGCCUUUGGCUACAAGCGGGGCUUUAAAUCUCUCAAUGCUUCCAUCCGAUUUAUACUUAAUCUGAUAUACCCAUUUACAGCCAAUGGGGGUUUCGCCAGGUGGUAAAUCAACUAAGGUCCAGGUAUUAUUUGAUUCAAGAGCUGCAAUCUCAGCAGCCAUAGCAUUUCUCCAUUGUUCACUUUUGAUAGCUUAUAUGUAAGUUUUUGGUUCAGAUAUAGAUGAUAUGCUAAGAAUGUAAUGGAAACAAGAAGGAGAUAAUUUUUUAUAGGAAAGAACAGAAGAAAGGGGGUACCUGACUUUGGAAGAUGAUGUAGACUCAGUUGAAGCAGAGAAAUUGCAGUGAUAGUCAUCGAGGUAAGCUGGAGUUGAUCUUAUUCGAUUUGAACGUCUAAGGGGUUGUUGGGUUUAUGAAGAUGGAAUAAUGGAUGGGGGAUUUGGCUGAGAAGGGGGUAAUGGAGAAGAAGUGAGAUUAGGUGAGAGAGAAUUAUAAUCUGGGUAAUCAGAAUUUGGAAGAGAAGUGUCUACAGGCUGUGAAAAAGAAAAAUCAGAAGUAACAUGAGAAGAGAAUAGGAAAAUGUGUUUUGAGAAUUGGACAUCUCUAGAAAGAAAAAUCUCUCUAGUAGCUAGAUCCAUGAGAAUAUAAACCUUGACCCAAGAUUAUAGCCUAAAAAGAUGCAUUUGUGGGCCCUUAGUGCUAACUUGGUUCUAUGAGCUGCUAAAGUUGAGGCAAAACACAGGAAGCCAAAAACUUUGAAGUUAGCAUAAUUGGGGAUAGUGUGAUAAAGCAUUUCAAAUGGAGACUUAUCUUGUAAAAUGGGUGUAGGGGUUCUAUUUAAAAGGAAGAUUGCAUGAUGAAACAGCAUAAGACCAAAAAAUUUAGGGUAAAUGGGAUUGAAAUAUCAAAGCUCGGACUAUGUUUAAAAUGUGUUGGUGCUUUCGCUCUACAAUGGCAUUUUGUUAGUGGGGUUUCCACAUAAGUGGUUUGAUGCAAAAUUCCUUUAGAAUUAUAAAAAGAAGACAUGAGGAAUUUUGGACCAUUAUCAGAUCGUAUGGUUUGAAUUUUGGUGUGAAAUUUGUUUUCUAUGAAUGAGAUAAAGGAUUGUAGA